AGAAUGUUGACCAGAUAUCUACAAGUGGAGAUCUACUUGAUAGAGCUUAUUUAGGCGAAAAAUCCUCUGACGAGAGAAAACACCCAUAGAAAACUAUCUGAAAAUCAGAUAUGUUUUCUGUCAGAAACUGUUGUAGGAGUUCUACGGGAAAGUCAUCAGCCUACAAAAAACCAAUCAAUCCAUGAGCUGAGUCGAAUGGGAAUUGAAAAUUGUGUGACUAGUACAAAAGGAAGAGGGAACAUGGCUGCAUAUGACAUCAUUUUCAUAACGUUGCCAUUACAAUGGAUAUUCAAAUUCUGGUGAAACGCGUAUCGCUUGAAGCUGCAAUUC